AUUGAACGCUGGCGGCAGGCCUAACACAUGCAAGUCGAGCGGCAGCGGGAAAGUAGCUUGCUACUUUUGCCGGCGAGCGGCGGACGGGUGAGUAAUGCCUGGGAAAUUGCCCAGUCGAGGGGGAUAACAGUUGGAAACGACUGCUAAUACCGCAUACGCCCUACGGGGGAAAGCAGGGGAACUUCGGGCCCUGCGCGAUUGGAUAUGCCCAGGUGGAUUAGCUAGUUGGUGAGGUAAUGGCUCACCAAGGCGACGAUCCCUAGCUGGUCUGAGAGGAUGAUCAGCCACACUGGAACUGAGACACGGUCCAGACUCCUACGGGAGGCAGCAGUGGGGAAUAUUGCACAAUGGGGGAAACCCUGAUGCAGCCAUGCCGCGUGUGUGAAGAAGGCCUUCGGGUUGUAAAGCACUUUCAGCGAGGAGGAAAGGUUGAUGCCUAAUACGUAUCAACUGUGACGUUACUCGCAGAAGAAGCACCGGCUAACUCCGUGCCAGCCGCCGCUGUAAUAC
rnacentral:rRNA from 1 species